CGGGGUAUAGCACAGCUUGGUAGUGCGUCUGCUUUGGGAGCAGAAGGUCGGGGGUUCGAAUCCCUCUACCCCGACCA
rnacentral:tRNA from 3 species